CUUCACAACACACGAUCACCACCAAUCACCACCACCCCGCCUCCACUACCCGCCACCACCACCCUCACCCCCACCUACACAGAUUUGUUAUUGUGUUUUUGAUUCGUUAGGUUUUCUCUUGUAUAUAAUCACAUAUGAUUAUAUGUGUCGAGUCACAUGUUGUUAUAUGUAUCGAAUUAUAUAUGAUUUAUAUGUUAUUAAAUACAUAUAAUCACAUGUGAUUAAAUACACGUGAAAAACUAGUGAAUCGAGAAUGCAAAAAUGAAUAUUGUCCACAUAAAUCAUAUGUGAUUAGAUACAUAUAACUAUAUGUGAUUAUAUGUAUUUAAUAAAAUAUUAUUUACGUGGGCCAUAUUUAUUUUCCUGUUUCGAUUUAAUAAUUGGCAUCGUGUAUUAAAUCACAUGUGAUUGUAUGUAUUUAAUCACAUAUGAUUUAUAUGGACAAUAGUUGUUUUCACGUGUUGAUUCAAUAGUUGUUCUUGUGUAUUUAAUCAUAUGUGAUUAUAUAUAUUUAAUCACUUAUGAUUCGUAUGGAAAAUGUUUAUUCUUGCAUCGAUUCAAUAAUUGAUCUAAUAUAUUUAAUCACAUGUGAUUAUAUGUAUUUAAUCACAUAUGAUUUAUGUGGACAAGAUUCAUUUUCCUUCUUAAUUCAAUAGUUGUACUCAUGUACUUAAUCAAAUCUGAUUAUAUGUAUCAUAUCGCAUACGAUUUGUAUUGAUAAUAUUCACGAGUUAAUAUUUUUUCUUAUGUAUUUAAUCAUAUGUGAUUUUAUGUAUUAAUCACAUAUGAUUAAUGUGGAAAAAGAAAAACUAUUUAAUCAAAAACGAGAAAAUGAAUCUUGUGUAUAGAAAUCAUAUAUGACUAAAUGUACAAGAAUAAUCAUUGAACAAGAAUGUGAAAAUGAAUAUUGUACAUAUAAAUCAUAUCUAAUUAGAUGCAUAUACUCUCAUGUAAUUAAGCACACAAGAACAACAACUGAAUCGAGAACGCGAAAAUAAAUAUUUUCCACAUAAAUUCUAUGUGCUUAGAUACAAAUAAUCACAUGUGAUUAUAUGCAUUUAAUCACAUAUGAUAUAUGUGGAUAAUAUUGAUAUUUGUGUUCUCGAUUCAAUAGUUUUUCUCGUGUAUAUAAUCAUAUGUGAUUAUAUGUAUCUAAUCACAUAUGAUUUAUUUAGGCAUCAUUAUUUUUUGUCAAUAUAAAUCAUAUGUGAUUAGAUACAUAUAAUUACAUGUGAUUAUAUGUAUUUAAUCAUAUAUGAUUCCAGUUGACAAAGAACGAUUACUGAAUCGAGAAUGUGACAAUGAAUCGUAUCCACAUAAAUCAUAUAUGAUUGGAUAUGUGAUUAAUUACACAAAAGCAAUUAUUCAAUCGAAACCACAAAAAUAAAUAUUGUCUACAUAAAUCAUAUAUGAUUGGAUACAUAUAAUCACAUGUGAUUACAUGUAUUUAAUCAUAUAUGAUUUAUGUAGACAAUAUUUAUUUUUGUGGUUUCAAUUGAAGAAUUGCUUUUGUGUAAUUAAUCACAUGUGAUUAUAUGUAUAUAAUCACAUAUGAUUUGAGGUGGACAACAUUCAUUUUUCCCUUCUAUAUUCAAUAGUUGUGCUCAUGUACUUAAUCACAUACGAUUAUACAUAUAAUCACAUGUGAUAAAAUACAUGAGAAAAACUAUUAAAUCGACACAGCAAAAAGGAAUUAUGUCCACAUAAAUCAUAUGUGAUUAGAUUCAUAUAAUCAUAUGUGAUUAUAUCUAUUUAAUCACAUAUGAUUAAUUUGGAUAAACAUUUGUUUUCACAAUAUUGGUUCAAUAUUUGGUAUAUUGUAUAUAAUUACAUGUUAUCGUGUAUACAAUUACAUUUAAGGACCAAUUGGAUAUUAACCUAAUUAUAAAGUCAAAUAGUCAAGAAAAUAUACCUAUUUCAAACGUGUAGUGUGGUUUCUCCACCUGAUGGUGCUUUUUUUUUUUUAUUUUUUUUUAUUUUUUUUUAUUUUUUGGCAAUGGCUUCCACAUCAUUUCCUCUAUUUACAAAUUGCAUCAUCCUUUCCAUAGUAUUGUUCUCAUCCAACAAUAAUCAACAGUUCAACGCACAUUAGCUUCCAAACUAAUUAGUUACAUAUAAUCAUAUAUGAUUUUGUUUAUCUAAUCACAUAUGAUUUAUAUGUAUAAUAUUCGUUUUUAAAUUCUCGAUUCAAUAUUUUCUCAUGUAUUUAAUCACAUGUGAUUAUAAGUAUUUAAUCAGAUACCAUUAAUAUGGAUAAUGUAUAUUUUUUUGCUUUAUCAUUCCAAUAAUUGUUUUUGUGCAUUUAAUCACAUGUUAUAUGUAUUUAAUCACAUAUGAUUUAUGUAAACGAGAUUCAUUUUUACAUUUGAAAUUCAAUUAUUAUUCUCAUGUAUGUAAUCACAUGUGAUUAUAUGUAUUAAUCACAAAAUAUUAUAUGUCAUUAAAAAUAAAACCAAUUAUAUUUAUAUGAUUUAUUUUGUACAUACAAAAUGUUCUAGAAACGUUAUUUUCUAUUUGUAAAAUACAUUUUUAUGAACUACUAUCCUUUUUAAUCUAUAUAAUUUCAUUUCUUAUAUAUUUUUCAAAAUUUAAAUUAAUUAUUUACUUGAUGUAUCCAAUAUGCAAAAGAAAUAGAUGCCCCAUUCAAAAUAUUAAACCCGCUAGAAUAAGCCAAAACUUAGCUUCAUAAUUUUUGAAGGGUUUUCUAUUUAGAUUUUAUUUUUUUGUACAUUUUAAUUUAGUUUUGUUUAAACAUUAAGCAUUAUUUGUAGAAGGUUUGCUCGCUUUACGAAUAUCAUCAAAUAGUUGGAAUUUUAAAAUUUUAAAGUGUAUAAAAUAUAAUUUUAUGACAUUGUCAAAACCUUGGAUAUCCAAAUUAACAUCUAAUGCAUUAAUAAUAAAAACAAGGAGCAAUUACUAAUCUAACCAAAUUAAGGAAGUCAUUAGUAAUUUAUAGUAAAAAAUUAAUAAAUGUCUAAAUAUAGCCCACGAAACCUACGGUUUCGAUAUUCGUCUAUUGUUUCGUGUUUUGUAUAAUUUUUUUUCAUUUUUAGGAUAAAAAACCAUAGGUUUUUAAAACCUACAGUUUCCUCUUGAAACCUUCGGUUUCCCAAACCGUAGCUAUGGUUUUUAGUAAAAAAAAUACCGUUUUUUUUUUUUUUUUUUUUUUUUUUUUUUUUUUUUUUUAAAUCUACUGUUUUGGGGGUUUUAACUACAAAAAAAGGGAAACCGUAUGUUUUAAAAAUCUUACGGUUUUGUAUCCUAAAAAUGAAAAAAAAAAUUAUACAAAACUCGAAACAGUAGACGAUUUGGCGAAACAAUAGUCAACCUAUAGUUGACUACUCUUUUGUGGGCUAUUUUUGGCUAAAGAGUUUUUUUUUUGCUAUUUUUUGAUAAAUAAUUAAGGAUUUUGGCUAGAUUUAUAUUUUCCCCUAAAAAUAAAUUAUGAAGGCUAUUGGAAUCAAAAUUAAAUGAAUGCGUCGACAUAUGCUAAAACGAGCUCAUUAUUGUAUAAAGAAAAAACUAAUAAAAUAGUACACAAAUCUAAAGAAAACAUAUGUGAAGUGUAUCUUACUUUUAAAUAUAUAAAAAAAAAAGCAUUUAAUAAAAAAAAUAUAUGCACAGUGAAAAGAAAGGGCAUUAAGGAAAUGACCAAUGUAAAGUAGGCAUGAAUGAUGAAACGCCGACCUCAAGCAUCAAGCAUUGAUAAUUUUAUAUUAUAACCUAUCAAAUAAAUCCAUAAAAAAAAACCUUGUUUCAGAUAUAGUCUCUAGACACAAACAAAAUAAUCGGCGCGUACCUAAACAGAUGGAUUUGAGGGGACGUUCUUGUUGCUGCAUUUCCAAUUUGGUGACUUUUCUUCUGAAAUCAGAGACGAUUCACGAUGAUUCCUUUACAACGGAAGGCAGUUCACAAACGUGAAUGUUCGGAUCUUUUGGUGGGACGUUUUUACUACUGAAUCGAGAUAGCUUAGGGUUUGAAGUCCUUUUGUGCUUUACAAAUCUGGAUCUAGGAAGUAUGUUUCUAAUUGAAGGAAAAAAAUACUUCUAGAUCAACAUUGUUGAUAGUUCCCUGCGUUAGACUUCAAAUUUUUCUUCACUAAGUGAGGAUACGUGAUUUAGUGCGUGUUCGUAAGGCAGAUGGGGGAGCAUUUGAGUUGAAAUUCAAAAAACGAUUUUGCUCUUGUGGCUGUAGAAGGUUAGAACAGGAAAAGGGGAAACAACAUCCGAUGAUAGUAGCCGAUGUACCAAGAUCUGGUGAUGGUUCCAGAAGAUGAGAGGUAGACGAAGAUGGAUUUCGAUUAUGAGAGGUGGUGUUGCAGAUUUGGAAGGAUUUAAAAGGCGGAAGUUUGUUGAUCCAACAACGAUAUGGUGGCGAUAAGGUUAUUACACCGGAGGUCCGACAAUUCAGAGGUGGUCAGACGUCUGAAGGCUGGUGGUUCCCGACGGUUUCCGGUGGUGGUCCGAUACUGUCAAUUUAGGUCUGUAUGAGAGGAGAGAGAAUGACAUAAUAUGGUGGGGGAAGUUAGGUUGGAUAAUUUGUAUUUGAAUAACAAAAAAGCGUGUUUUUUUGAACUCAUAGGUUAAAAAAUGUUCUCAAAUGUUUUCACGGGAAAAAUGUUCUCAUUGGAACUGAUGAAUCAAUGAAUUGAGUAUGAUAUUAAUCAGAAUUGAUUUUGAAGAAUGAAUGAGUAAGUGAACACAAGAUGUAAAUAUGAUUUCGCUUCAGCUCUAUUACGCUUUGAAUGUUUUACAGAGAAAAUAGACAAGGC
rnacentral:lncRNA from 1 species